UUGGUGAACAACGUUAAAUCUGUGUCGUGUUCUUUACGCUUUUUUGUCUUGCUCACAUCUGUUAUAACAAACUGGUAUCAGAGCCAGGUUACUUUGUUCUUCUUUCGUCCUGCGAAUUU
rnacentral:sRNA from 1 species